rnacentral:rRNA from 1 species
UGAACGCUGGCGGCAGGCCUAACACAUGCAAGUCGAGCGGUAGCACAGAGAGCUUGCUCUCGGGUGACGAGCGGCGGACGGGUGAGUAAUGUCUGGGAAACUGCCUGAUGGAGGGGGAUAACUACUGGAAACGGUAGCUAAUACCGCAUAAUGUCGCAAGACCAAAGUGGGGGACCUUCGGGCCUCAUGCCAUCAGAUGUGCCCAGAUGGGAUUAGCUAGUAGGUGGGGUAACGGCUCACCUAGGCGACGAUCCCUAGCUGGUCUGAGAGGAUGACCAGCCACACUGGAACUGAGACACGGUCCACACUCCUACGGGAGGCAGCAGUGGGGAAUAUUGCACAAUGGGCGCAAGCCUGAUGCAGCCAUGCCGCGUGUGUGAAGAAGGCCUUCGGGUUGUAAAGCACUUUCAGCGGGGAGGAAGGCGUUAAGGUUAAUAACCUUGGCGAUUGACGUUACCCGCAGAAGAAGCACCGGCUAACUCCGUGCCAGCAGCCGCGGUAAUACGGAGGGUGCAAGCGUUAAUCGGAAUUACUGGGCGUAAAGCGCACGCAGGCGGUCUGUCAAGUCGGAUGUGAAAUCCCCGGGCUCAACCUGGGAACUGCAUUCGAAACUGGCAGGCUAGAGUCUUGUAGAGGGGGGUAGAAUUCCAGGUGUAGCGGUGAAAUGCGUAGAGAUCUGGAGGAAUACCGGUGGCGAAGGCGGCCCCCUGGACAAAGACUGACGCUCAGGUGCGAAAGCGUGGGGAGCAAACAGGAUUAGAUACCCUGGUAGUCCACGCCGUAAACGAUGUCGAUUUGGAGGUUGUGCCCUUGAGGCGUGGCUUCCGGAGCUAACGCGUUAAAUCGACCGCCUGGGGAGUACGGCCGCAAGGUUAAAACUCAAAUGAAUUGACGGGGGCCCGCACAAGCGGUGGAGCAUGUGGUUUAAUUCGAUGCAACGCGAAGAACCUUACCUGGUCUUGACAUCCACAGAACUUUCCAGAGAUGGAUUGGUGCCUUCGGGAACUGUGAGACAGGUGCUGCAUGGCUGUCGUCAGCUCGUGUUGUGAAAUGUUGGGUUAAGUCCCGCAACGAGCGCAACCCUUAUCCUUUGUUGCCAGCGGUUCGGCCGGGAACUCAAAGGAGACUGCCAGUGAUAAACUGGAGGAAGGUGGGGAUGACGUCAAGUCAUCAUGGCCCUUACGACCAGGGCUACACACGUGCUACAAUGGCAUAUACAAAGAGAAGCGACCUCGCGAGAGCAAGCGGACCUCAUAAAGUAUGUCGUAGUCCGGAUUGGAGUCUGCAACUCGACUCCAUGAAGUCGGAAUCGCUAGUAAUCGUAGAUCAGAAUGCUACGGUGAAUACGUUCCCGGGCCUUGUACACACCGCCCGUCACACCAUGGGAGUGGGUUGCAAAAGAAGUAGGUAGCUUAACCUUCGGGAGGGCGCUUACCACUUUGUGAUUCAUGACUGGGGUG